rnacentral:misc_RNA from 1 species
UGCACUAUUUAAGUCCGACGGACCAGAGACCGUUAUGUUCACCUGCAUUUCUCGGCUCAGUUAACAUCCAAGUGCAAGAAUGAAUCCUGUUGCCGUGUUUGGCUCUCUUGGUCUUCUGCUCAUCAUGCAAGUCACCUUAGUCCAAACUUCCUCUUCAACAAGCGAGGCAACCACAGUCGAGACACCCACAACAAUGAAUGAAUCGACUCCUACAUCAGAGGCAGCAACUGCAUCAACAGUGGCAUCAACUGCAUCAACAGUGGCAUCAACUGCAUCAACAGUGGCAUCAACUGCAUCAACAGUGGCAUCAACUGCAUCAACAGCGGCAUCAACUGCAUCAACAGCGGCACCAACUGCAUCAACAGCGGCACCAACUGCAUCAACAGCGGCAGCAACUGCAUCAACAGCGGCAGCAACUGCAUCAUCCGCUGCACCAAGUACAUCAACAGCUGCAACAAGUUCAUCAGCGACAAAUACUACAGUAUCGUCUAAUAAUAACAACGCCGCACGACUGUCGAUGACCUGGUUGCCAAGCAGCAUCUCAAUGUUCAUUGGUCUUCUAGUGGUCGCCUUGCACAAUAGAGGAUAGGUGUAAAGUGUGUAAAGUUGCAACAAGUUCAUCAGCGACAAAUACUACAGUAUCGUCUAAUAAUAACAACGCCGCACGACUGUCGACCACCUGGUUGCCAAGCAGCAUCUUAUGUUCAUUGGUCUUCUAGUGGUCACCUCAAUCAAUAGAGGAUAAGUGUAAAGUAUAUAUCUAGCUGUGUUGAUAAGUAUGUAACAAUUACAAUAUGUAGCAUGUGUGUCCCUUCAGUCGACCUCAGUGACAAUAUUUCUUCCCUCUGCAUUACAGUGUUGCAGUCUCUCUCUCUCUAUGUCUCUCAUUGUAUUGCAGUGUCACAGUCUCUCUAUUUCUCUCUCUCCCUCUAUUACUCCACCUGGAUGAUUCCAAUGUGAACCAAGUUACAUCUUGGGGAUUUUGUUUCCUUAAAAAGAAAAGAAGACCUUUGUAUAUUUACAUCUUUUGCAAACAUCUUUUAAUUCUUUUUAGGUGAAAUGGUAUCAGCCAGGUACUUUACUGUACCAGAAAUUCAGUAUUAUUUACCUUUAUAUAGCGUUUGCCUUUUUUUAUUACUUUUUUAAUGACAAAACUCGAUCGUUUAUAGUGUACACAAAUAACCAGAAAUCUUCUCAUUGAAAAUGAAAUUUCCAAGUUUACAUUAAAUGUUAGUGUUGUUAAAUUUAUAUAUAUAUAUACACACACACUCAGAUUCCAGUGGUCAUAUUAUGCCAUAUUGCGGCAAACAAAAGAUGUGUUGUGUUUGUAUUUAACAGCACUCCUAACACACUUCUGACAAACAAGGUUUUCACCAGAACUUUCGUUGUUACUGUUUUUACUAUCUAUUACUGUACAUGGAAGAUCUCAAUAUGAACCAGGUUACACCCUGGGGAUUGUGUUCUUUAACAAAGAAAAAAGACCUUUGAAGACUUACAUAUUUUGCAAACGUCUUUGUUUUCUCAAAUGAACUGUUAUCAGUCAGUUACCUCACAAUAACAAAUAAACAGUAUUAUUUACCUUU